AUGAUUGGAACUGGAACAUGGCGUGAUAGACUGUGGUAUAUUGAUCAAGGAGAAACCGCGCUCGUUGUGGCUGUAGGAGGUGUUGAGGCAGAGAUUUUGUUGUAUCAUUGUCGCCUAGGACAUCUUUCUUUUGGGAGUUUGAGUCUUUUGUGUCCUGAGUUAUUUAAGAAAGCAAAUCAAAGCAAAUUAGUGUGUGAUGCUUGUGAGUUUGGCAAACAUACCCGAGUAACUUAUCCUAGUACUGGUCUCCGAAGUAAUGAGCCGUUCUUAUUAAUUCAUUCCGAUGUUUGGGGUCCUUGUUCUGUUACCUCUGUGAGUGGUUUCAGAUGGUUUGUCACAUUCAUUGAUUGUCACACUCGGAUGACGUGGAUCUACUUGAUGAAGCAUAAGAGUGAAGUUCUGACAUGCUUCCAGGACUUCCACAAAAUGGUGGCCACUCAAUUUGACAAGAAGGUUCGAAUUCUUCGCUCGGAUAAUGGGACAGGGUAUAUUAAUUAUGUUUUUGAUGCUUAUCUCUGA
rnacentral:rRNA from 1 species